GCUUUCCAGCCUGCAGAGAGAAGGACAAAUACAGGUCAUUGACAAAUCCACACCUGCUUCUUGAAGAGUGUUUCUGUUCUGUCUGUAUGGAGAUUUCUACAAGUCCCUUUAGAGGUACUAAGCUCACCAUUUCUCUCUUUCUUCUUAAUAAUUUUCCAAACAGUUGAUUUUGGUAAGCCAGAAUGUUUUGCUGUUUUUUUUCUUGUUUCUCAGCCCUAUUAUGUGUCCCUUGAAUUUCAUUGGCACAGCUCUGGUCCUCAUGUUGACAAGACAAAGUAGACUCCAAAGGGCCUGCCUGAUCCAUGCUGAUGUUCUACUUUUGCUUGGAGCUUCCUUCGCCUGAGAAUCAUUUGCUGCUGAGGAUGGUACCACACAGACACCCUAAAGAUAGCUGUGGAUGUUCUUACUUGGAUAGCCUAAAGACUGCACUUGCUAAAAACAGUUUACACUCAAGUCUCAAUCAGUGAACACUAUUAUAUUAAUAAAAAACUGCACUUAGAUACUACAGACUUAAAACUGUAAUGAAAUCAGAAAUGACUAUGAUACUCAUUCAAGAUCCUUUCAACACACUUAGCACUACUCGACUCUCUAGUAUACAUUUAUAGAAGAGAAAUGAUUUAUAAUCGCACUAUCUGUCACCCAGAUGAGGAUGGUUCCCUUUUGAGUCUGGUUCCUCUCAAGGUUUCUUCCUCAUAUCAUCUCAGGGAGUUUUUCCUCACCACUGUCACCUCUGGCUUGGUCAUUAGGGAUAAAUUUAUAAAUUUAAAUCUAUAUCCAGAUAUCUGUAAAGCUGCUUUAUGAUGAUGUCCAUUGUUAAAAGCACUAUAUAAAUAAAAUUGAAUUGAAUUGAUUUAUGGCACUCUGCAAAAAGAGCUGGGGUCUGAGAUCAAGGAUGAGCUUUGGGAGGAAGCACUAGGGAACAUACACAACUAACAACAGCGAACUCCAAAUACUGUCUUAUUCAAUUUAAAAGCAUCCACAGAUUAUACAAUACAAAAACUAAACUAUAAAAUUUUUUCCAGUUGUUUCCCAGAUGUGUGAUAAAUGCCAUUUCCAUAGUUAUGACCUUUGUCCUAAUCUGACUCAAUUUUGGACUAAUGUAUUUCAAACUAUAUCAGAUAUGCUACACAUAAUAUUGUAAUAUUGCAACCAGAAUAACUGUUGAUUGUGCUUCAGGUCUUUGAUAAGUUGUCCAUGCUUCACAAGCAUCAAUGCCAUCUGGUGCCAUCUGAAAAAAUGUGGCUAGAGGAAAUGGUGAAACCAUUGUGUUUGGAGAGAAUAAAGUUUUCUUUGUCAGACACACGUGGUCAGUUUCACAAGAGUUGGUAUCCCCUCCUCCAGUAUCUAGAUAAGUUGACCUGAUACACAGUACUUGGGUGACUGGUGGGGUCCGUUGCCUUUUUGUUUUAAAAUGUGUUUUUUGAUGUCUUUACUCCUGUCAUAUCUGUUUAUCUUAAUCAAGAAACCGGGGAGACUGCAUUUGGUCUGUCUGUGUUCAACACUCUAUUCCUCUAUUCCACUCCAUUGAUUGGGUAACUAUAGCAGAUAGUGCUGCUUUAUUAAAUUUGUAUUCCAUUUCAGACAAUAUUUUAUGAAAGUAAAACAGUCAUAUGACAGAAAUGCAGGAUCCACAGUGUGAAAGUGAUGAUCUGACCUCAGUGUCUCCAGUGUACAGUGUGGAUUCUCCAGUCCAGCAGAGAGCAGCUUCAGUCCUGAAUCCUGCAGGUUAUUGUUACUCAGGUCCAGUUCCUUCAGACUGGAGGAGUUUGAGCUGAGAACUGAGGACAGAACUCUACAGCUUUCCUCUGUCAGAUUACAGUGAUACAGCCUGGAAGAGAAAUGAUGAAAUAUCAGAAAACUGAAAUCUGAAGACUGCAUCACUGGCCUACUCAAAGGGCGAUUGCGUUGUCUGGAUGCGACAGGUGGGAGACUGCUUCAGGUGGGAUACUGCUUCAGGUGAGAGACCGCUUCAGGUGGAAGACCGCUUCAGGUGGAAGACCGCUUCAGGUGGGAGACUGCUUCAGGUGGGACACUACUUCAGGUGGGAGACUGCUUCAGGUGGAAGACUGCUUCAGGUGGAAGACUGCUUCAGGUGGGAGACUGCUAAAGGUGGAAGACUGCUUCAGGUGGGACCCUGCUUCAGGUGGGAGACUGCUUCAGGUGGGAGACUGCUAAAGGUGGAAGACUGCUUCAGGUGGGACCCUGCUUCAGGUGGGAGACUGCUUCAGGUGGGAGACUGCUAAAGGUGGAAGACUGCUUCAGGUGGGACCCUGCUUCAGGUGGGAGACUGCUUCAGGUGGGAGACUGCUAAAGGUGAGAGACCGCUUCAGGUGGAAGACCGCUUCAGGUGGAAGACCGCUUCAGGUGGGAGACUGCUUCAGGUGGGACACUACUUCAGGUGGGAGACUGCUUCAGGUGGAAGACUGCUUCAGGUGGGAGACUGCUAAAGGUGGAAGACUGCUUCAGGUGGGACCCUGCUUCAGGUGGGAGACUGCUUCAGGUGGGAGACUGCUAAAGGUGGAAGACUGCUUCAGGUGGGACCCUGCUUCAGGUGGGAGACUGCUUCAGGUGGAAGACUGCUUCAGGUGGGACACUGCUUCAGGUGGGAGACUGCUUCAGGUGGAAAAUUAACCAAUUCAUAUUUCUACCUACCAGAUGAGUGUUUUAAAUAGCGGUAAUUGUGUCCUUUUGUCUUGAUCUCUGAAUCUCUGACACAACUUCCUAUUCACAUUCCCAAAUAUUCCUCUUUUUUGCUUUUCUCUCUGCCAUUGUCAAUGCUAGCUCAUUCAAAAAUGACUGGGACACCCCACAUUUAAAUAUGCAUGAGGUAAUUUGCAUUGACUAUUUAUGGAUAUUUGUGGGCAGUACACAGGUGGGAGAAGAGGCCUUUUCACCUGUGCAUAUUUUUAAGAAGUCUGUGAUUUAUAAAGUGGAAAUGGUGUGUGUAUGCAAUGUUUUAUAAAUCUGAUUUUUUUAAUGUGUACAUACAAUUUCCUGGUUUUUGUGCAUAUGCGCAAUUUCACUCUGGAAUCCGUGUAAAGUUUUAUAAAUGAGCCACCAGGACUGGUAUGUAUACAGCCUCUCAUGGUAAAACUUUGGUCUUAAGUUCUAAAAAUUUAUAGAAAUCCUUCCUAUACUUAGGCAGCACUGAGACAUUAAAAACAUAUAACAAAUAAAAUAAAAACAUAUUUUUGUUAUAAAGUGUUUCCAUUCAUAACUGAUUACUCAGUGUUACCCUACACGAUAACACACAUUAAAAUCUCCCAAAUCUGUCCUUUAUGCUCUCCUUUCUUUCUUCCAGCUCAGCAUUAGGGCAUGUAUUUGGGUUAAGAGAGGUAAAUAGUAUUCAGUAAACAUGGAGAAGGUAUAACUAGAAGUACUUGGUGGAAGUGGAAUUAAAAUUAAGACCCUAGCUUAUUAAAAGCAAUGUAUUAUUUCAUAAACAUGAGAUGAAAGAAGCGCUGGUGUGAUAGUUCUUUCAUAUAUUUUGUACACGUCUCUUGGCUCUUACUACAGAAAUGGGCCAGAAUGAAAUGAAUUAAAUGUGAAUACCUGAAUUAAAUGAACAGAUAAUUCCGGAAGCAAUCAAACCUCUUCUAAAAAUAAUCAAAUCUUCCCUUAGCUUUAGCUUUGUACCUAAUAUUUUAAACUAGCAGUUAUCAAACCCCUGAUUACUUCAUGUGAAAACUAUAUUGAAUGUUCCUGGUUACACAACUGCACUAUUUGUCUGUGUAGUACACAGUUAUAGAAGGGAAUGAUUUAUAAUCGCACUAUCCCGUGUCACCCAGAUGAGGAUGGGUUCCCUUCUGAGUCUGGUUCCUCUCAAGGUUUCUUCCUCAUAUUGUCUCAGAGAGUUUUUCCUCACCACCAUCACCUCUGGCUGGCUCAUUAGGGAUAAAAUUAUACAUUUCAAAUUUGUAUCCUGACUUUAUAUAUUUCUGUAAAGUUGCUUUGUGACAAUGUCCAUUGUUAAAAGUGCUAUAUAAAUAAAAUUGAAUCGAAUUACAGUGAUGCAACUGUCAUAGAUAUUAAUUAAAUGUUACUUCUAGAAUUAACUCAGACUGCUGGCUGAGUUACUCCAAGAACUUUUUAGAACACAUUUUACACCCAGCUUAACUAAAAUUUUAUCUAUUAAGUAGAUUUCUAGUUUUAAGAGUAAUUAUCAGAAGCUUCAUGCAUUCGGACUCUGAUCUUGUUCACCUAGAGAAUUUUUGUAUAUUGCUCUUAUUUUUAAGGAUGAUAGUAAAUUAAUUUUUAAGACCAAUAAUUUACCAUGAGCUGCUUUAGAUUGUCCAGUGAUUGUCAACAGAGGUAGAUGUUUGCAUUGGGUGCCACAUGAUCUCUGAUAGGGGAUUAUGGGAUUUGGAAUCCAUGUUUUAGAAUGUUGCAGAUGUGGACAUGAAAACUGGUUUCUUGAAAUUAACCCCUUGAUUGAAACAUAACAAAUUAAAUGGGGAAAUUCAGCAAUUUUCUAUGGUUCACCAUUAACCUAUUUAACCUAAUAUAUCCAGAAUGCUUUAAUUUAUUUUGUCAUUUAAACAGUCAUUUCAACUAUCCCAAGAUUAUAUAGCCUGAAAUGUAUCACUGGUACUUAAAGUACAAUUUAAAUUAAAAUAUUUAAAUGGUUAAAUGUGUAAUAUUCUGUCAGCCUAUUGUUAUACACCAGGCUUGUUGUUUUACAUUUCAUUAUUAUUAGGUUUCUACUCUAGUGACAAUAAAAUAAACAAAAUAUGAAAGUGUUGAUCUGACCUCAGCUUCUCCAGUGUACAGUGUGGAUUCUCCAGUCCAGCAGAGAGCAGCUUCACUCCUGAAUCCUGCAGGUUAUUGUUACUCAGGCCCAGUUCUCUCAGACUGGAGGAGGUUGAGCUGAGAACUGAGGACAGAACU